CAACUGCACAUUUAGAACUCAGUUGAGAACUGGACUAUCACUAGGAUGAGUGAACCUAUAAAGACCAUGCUAUCAUUCUGUCUCCUCAAAAGCCACCUUCCCCUCCCUGCCUUCUUCCCGUGUGGCUGCCUCUGUCUCUGAAGCUCCUUCCCUCAGGCCGCACAUUCUCAGGCCUUGACGCCAGCCCAGUGAUCAGGAUCACUGUGCCCCUGUGAAGUUUUUGUUUCUAGGUCAGUGCAGAGACCCAGGCUCUCACAGGAGAUAACAGCUAAUCUCAGGCUGAAUGAUGUGGCCAGCUAGAAAGGCUGACUUUGUACCUUGGCUAGGCCAAGGUACCUAGUUUCGCUAAAGCACCAGUCUACGAGUUGCCUGUGAUUGUUUUUCAGAUGUGAUGAACAUUUAAGUCAGUAGGUUUUGAGUAAAGCAAAGAACCUUUAUAAUAUGGGGAGGUCUCAGCCAGUCAGUUGAAGGACAGAUAGCCUGAGGUUUCCUAAGUAAGUCAGAAUUCAGCCUGUAGAUUGUGUGCAUGCUCAACAUGUGCUAUCAAUUCUUUUUUCCAUCCUCCUUCCUCAGCCUGCAAGAACGCUGGCAUUACAGGCAUGCACCACCAUCUCCAGCUCCCUGAGUCUCCAUCCUAUGGUCUGCCCAGCUGAUUUCAGACUUGCUAGACAAUACUGCUCUCACUAUGCAGUGCAGACUGGCCUCAAACUCACCAUGUAGCCCGGGCUGGCCAUGUGCUUGUGGUCCUCCUGCCUCAGCCUCCCCAGUGCUGGGACUACGGGUAUGUGCUGGUACUCUUGGCCCAUAAUAAAGGUUUUUUUUUUAAUAUUAAAGUAUUAAAGCAGACACUUCAAAUAUCUUUGAAUAAAUAAUGAUUAGUUCAAAAGCAAUCAGAAACAUGCAACUACAUAUAUAAAAUAUUGUUAAUGAAACUUGGCAAAAAUACUAGUUGAAUCUGUAUUUUUAAGGCAUUCCAGCUGAAUGUAUAUGUGCUGCCAAAGGGAGCACUAGUCUAGCUAAAUGUAUCAAAACUCCAGUACUAUGUGUUUAUUGAUUAUAAAUGUUGUAUAGGUCUAUUUAUUAUGUCAAAUUGGAAACAAUAUCUUCAGACUAUUCAACCUAUGACUGUAUCUCAGUGGCAUGGAUUUAAAUGCCUCCAUUCUCCUGGUGCGUUGGUGCUCCAGUGAAACCACAAAGCCAAAAAUCGAAGUGCAUAAAAUCCAAAAGACCACAUCUUCUACAAUUUUUGUUUGCCCUGCCCACUUACUAAAGUGCUUCUCAGAUCUUGGAAGGUGUAAUCACCAGCUGUUUCAGCACAGUGAAGCAUCUGCUUCAAACUUACCAGGUAACCUUGAACAGUACAUACAUUCAUAGUUCAGCUUUAGUUUUAUACAGUCAAUAUCUUGCUAUUCAUAUAUAUAUACACACACACACACACACAUUUUAAGGAACAAAUUUAAAGCAUUUUAGAUGCUAUACAAUUCUUUUAUUUAUCAUUUUUUAAAAUUCAUGUUUAUUGGUACAUUUCAGGCAUACAAUAUGAUGACAUUCAUCAUUGAGAAUUUGUACUUUUACAUGAUGUAUCUUGGUUGUUAUUUUUUCCCCAUCCUCCUGCCCUCCCUUCAACCCCUCCACCCCUCCCUAUUUACAAAGACUUUGUUUCUAGUUUUUCCUUCUCUUAUAUUUAUUCCUUUCCCUUCUUUCCUUUCCCCUACCCCUCCCACUUCCCCUUCCCCUUUGGGCCUUAUCUUCCUAUUCGCUAUAAAAUUCUUAUGGAAUUUAAAAUUUGACUUUAGUUUUCUAAACUCAUAUUUCAGUUUGUCCAGUCUAAUGAUUCACACCUAAUGCUAAAUGUGGGCUCUGUACACACACAGUUAAACCUUAACAGACAAUUCUGUAUCAGUUAGGAAUGUGCACAAUUCCAAGCUACAGAAAAGCUGAAAAUAUGACUUAAACAAUUGCAAGUUACAGAAAAACUGGAAAUAGGAAAUAUUAAACAAAUAAAGUUUUCCUUAUCUCCCCUGACAAGAUGUCUAGAGGUAGGGAGCUAGGGGCAUUGGGUCAGCAGUUCAGCGUUAGGACAGAUGUCAAUAAAAGUUGUCUUGGUCCUUUCUUCAGCCAUAUUGCUUCAUGGUUACAAGACAGUUGAUAGGCUGUGAACAUCAAGAAGGCAGAAGAUUUCCCAGAAAACUGCAUUAGUCUUUCAACCAUGUCUCACUGGCUAGAUCUGUGUCACAUGGCUAUUCCUAGUCUCAAGGGAAGCAGGGAACUGCUGAGAUGGGCUUGUUCUUUACCUUUAAUUAUAGGUGAAUUGGAUGUAAAAUUCUAAAUUGACAGUUGUUUUCCACAGCACUUUGAGAUAUUAUUCUAUUUCCUACUUGUUCUGUUUUUGUUGAUGAAGAUUCUGACUAUCCUCCACAGUUGUUUUGUUAGUUCCAAUGUCUACCAUUCUGACCACAAAUUUGCUCUAUUGUUGAAGCAGGAAAUUUUAUUCUUUCUUUCAGACACAGCUAUUUACUUAUUUUUUGUUAUAUUACAUCAUGAAUAUCCAUAAGUUAGCAGAGCAAAAAUGGUUUUUAUGGGCUGGGAGGUAGCUUAGUGGC
rnacentral:lncRNA from 1 species